GACGAACCGAGCGAACGUUAUUCGGAAUCACUGGGCGUAAAGGGUGCGUAGGCGGGUCUUUAAGUCAGGGGUGAAAUCCUGGAGCUCAACUCCAGAACUGCCUUUGAUACUGAAGAUCUUGAGUUCGGGAGAGGUGAGUGGAACUGCGAGUGUAGAGGUGAAAUUCGUAGAUAUUCGCAAGAACACCAGUGGCGAAGGCGGCUCACUGGCCCGAUACUGACGCUGAGGCACGAAAGCGUGGGGAGCAAACAGG
rnacentral:rRNA from 1 species